rnacentral:rRNA from 1 species
UACGUAGGGUGCGAGCGUUGUCCGGAAUUAUUGGGCGUAAAGGGCUCGUAGGCGGUUUGUCACGUCGGGAGUGAAAACACCGGGCUUAACUCGGUGCUUGCUUCCGAUACGGGCAGACUAGAGGCAUGCAGGGGAGAACGGAAUUCCUGGUGUAGCGGUGAAAUGCGCAGAUAUCAGGAGGAACACCGGUGGCGAAGGCGGUUCUCUGGGCAUGUCCUGACGCUGAGGCGCGAAAGCUGGGGGAGCGAACGGG